rnacentral:tRNA from 1 species
GUGGCCAUAGCUCAAUUGGUUAGAGCGUCGGUUUGUGGCACCGAAGGUUGUGGGUUCAAGUCCCUCUGGCCACCCCA